rnacentral:rRNA from 1 species
GACGAACGCUGGCGGCGUGCUUAACACAUGCAAGUCGAACGGUAAGGCCCUUCGGGGUACACGAGUGGCGAACGGGUGAGUAACACGUGGGUGAUCUGCCCUGCACUUCGGGAUAAGCCUGGGAAACUGGGUCUAAUACCGGAUAGGACCACUGCCUGCAUGGGUGGUGGUGGAAAGCUUUUGCGGUGUGGGAUGGGCCCGCGGCCUAUCAGCUUGUUGGUGGGGUGAUGGCCUACCAAGGCGACGACGGGUAGCCGGCCUAAGAGGGUGACCGGCCACACUGGGACUGAGAUAUGGCCCAGACUCCUACGGGAGGCAGCAGUGGGGAAUAUUGCACAAUGGGCGCAAGCCUGAUGCAGCGACGCCGCGUGAGGGAUGACGGCCUUCGGGUUGUAAACCUCUUUCAGCACCGACGAAGCGCAAGUGACGGUAGGUGCAGAAGAAGGACCGGCCAACUACGUGCCAGCCGCCGCCGUAAUAC